rnacentral:rRNA from 1 species
GAUGAACGCUGACCGAAUGCUUAACACAUGCAAGUCAACUGUGGCGGAAGGGUGAGUAACGCGUAAAGAACUUGCCUCACAGUUAGGGACAACAUUUGGAAACGAAUGCUAAUACCUGCUACUGUGAGAGAGCUUUGCGUCCCAUUAGCUAGUUGGAGCGGUAACGGCUCACCAAGGCGAUGAUGGGUAGCCGGCCUGAGAGGGUGAUCGGCCACACGGGGACUGAGACACGGCCCUGACUCCGACGGGAGGCAGCAGUGGGGAUUAUUGGACAAUGGACCAAAGUCUGAUCCAGCAAUUCGGUGUGCACGAUGAAGUUUUCGGAAUGUAAAGUGGUUUCAGUUGGGAAGCGGUACCAACAGAAGAAGUGACGGCUAAAUACGUGCCAGCAGCCGAGGUAAUAC